CUUCACGGUAAAGCUUUUGCGGUUUGGGAUGGGCCUGCGUCCUAUCAGGUAGUUGGUGAGGUAAAUGCUCACCAAGCCUAUGACGGGUAGCUGGUCUGAGAGGAUGGUCAGCCAGACUGGGACUGCGACACGGUCCAGACUCCUACGGGAGGCAGCAACUAGGAAUUGUGCGCAAUGGACGAAAGUCUGACGCCGCGACAUCGCGUGGAGGAUGAAGGUCUUCGGAUUGUAAACUCCUUUUCUUACCGAACAAGUUCUGAGUGUAGGUAAGGAAUAAGUGCCUGCUAACCACGUGCCAGAAGCAUCGGUAAUACGUGGGGCACGAGCGUUAUCCGGAUUUACUGGGCGUAAAGAGAAGCGUAGGCGGCUCGAUAAGUUUGGUGUUAAAUCUUCCGGCUCAACCGGAAACAAAGCACCGAAAAACUAUCGAGAUUGAGUCGAGUAGGGAAGAGGGGAAUUCCUGGUGGAGCGGUUAAAUGCGUAGAUAUCAGGAGGAAUACCAAGGGCGAAGGCACCUCUUUGGACUCGUACUGACGCUGAGGCUCGAAAGCGUGGGUAGCANAACGGAUUAGAUACCCGUGUAGUCCGCGCCGUAAACGAUCCCUGUUAGAUGU
rnacentral:rRNA from 1 species